AUCUCUUUGGAGACAUCAGACAAAAUUGGAACGAUACAGAGAAGAUUAGCAUAGCCUCUACACAAGGGUGACACGCCAUAAGUCGAGAAAUGGUCCCUAAAAGG